UACGUAGGGUCCGAGCGUUGUCCGGAAUUACUGGGCGUAAAGAGCUCGUAGGUGGUUUGUCGCGUUGUUCGUGAAAACUCACAGCUCAACUGUGGGCGUGCGGGCGAUACGGGCAGACUAGAGUACUGCAGGGGAGACUGGAAUUCCUGGUGUAGCGGUGGAAUGCGCAGAUAUCAGGAGGGAACACCGGUGGCGAAGGCGGGUCUCUGGGCG
rnacentral:rRNA from 1 species